CUCUCUCAUUUCUUUCUCACCUUUUCAUGAAGGCAUUCUACUAUUUUUUUUCCUUUUUAGUUCGAUGUCUAUAAACUCUUAUAAAUAUGGCUAUAACCCAAACGCGAAGACUCCACACCCUCCCUUUCAACGAAUUCUCUCUCUAAAAAUGUCCCUCUCCAAUUUGAAAAAUAUUAAUUGAAUAAAUAAAGCACACCACUUUCACAGACGCGUGAUAUAUACUACUCAGCGUGAGAUUUGUCUAUAUCAUAUUAAUUUGACAGUGCAAAGAAAAUCUCCUCCUGCACAAGUAACCACAGCUUUAAUAUUGUGUUAUUUCAAAGUCUCAGGCCUCACCUUCCAUUUAUUGAGACCUCUCUCUCACUUCCUCUUUCUCACUCUAAAACUUGGAGUUCAUCCUACUUUAAAAUACCCACCAUUUCCCCACUUUCAGACUCUCUCUUCUUAUCCAUCUCCCUUAUCUUUCUCUCUCUAAAACUUGGUGGGAAAACCAUCAACGAAAGCCCUCUUCCCUGUCUACCGCCCUUUCUCUCUCUAAAACUUUCGCUCUCCAAGCCCCCCUUGUGUUUUUCACCUUCUGAUCAAAUGAGUGUGGUUCACUUGUUCAAGCAUUCGUUUGCUCUCUCUCCAUCAUCAUGUUCAACCGAACAGUUUAGUGAAUUGAGGGGAGAUUUAGAGCAAUUUCAAAAUUUGGUGGGAAGGCUGUCAGCAAAUUCGAGCUUAUGGAUUCUCCUUGGCCAAAAUUCAUUUUAUCAUUCGAUUUAUUGGUAUCCGGUUGAAAUAUGACAUGGUGGAAAAUUUGAGUUGAAAUAUGACAUGGUGGAAAAGUUGAGGGAACGGUGGUUUUUUAUGAAAGCCAAUCCCGUUGUAUAUGAUGGGAAGGUUGGAGCAGUCUACGGAACUGAAGACGCAAGUGUCCUACUCUACGGAACUGAAGAUGUAAGGGUCAUACUAUACGGAAUUGAAGAUGGAAGUGUCGAUCCACAAUAUUCACGAAAUGGUGCCAUUCUCCUAUUUCAUCGAUAUUUAUAUGUUUGAUGCCUUCUCCUACGAAGAAAUUUAUAAUACCAGCCCCAUUAAUUCCAUCAAUUAUCCGUCUAUCAAACAAAUGAAUUAAUUUAGCCAACCCUCUGAGGAUCUAACCAAUCAUAUAUUCCAUUUAUUAUUUUGUCCCAAGAGUUCUCUU